rfam:Xanthomonas oryzae pv. oryzae KACC10331, complete genome.
AUGUGCCACGCGUACAUUCCGGUUCUAGGCACGCCGUCCACGCCCCGCUGAAAACUGCGCGCGACGUUUAGGUC